UGCAGCGACGCCGCGUGAGGGAUGACGGCCUUCGGGUUGUAAACCUCUUUCAGCAGGGGAGAAGCGAAAGUGACGGUACCUGCAGAAGAAGCGCCGGCUAACUACGUGCCAGCAGCCGCGGUAAUACGUAGGGCGCGAGCGUUGUCCGGAAUUAUUGGGCGUAAAGAGCUUGUAGGCGGUUUGUCGCGUCUGCUGUGAAAGCCCGGGGCUUAACCCCGGGUUUGCAGUGGGUACGGGCAGACUAGAGUGCAGUAGGGGAGACUGGAAUUCCUGGUGUAGCGGUGAAAUGCGCAGAUAUCAGGAGGAACACCAAUGGCGAAGGCAGGUCUCUGGGCUGUAACUGACGCUGAGAAGCGAAAGCAUGGGGAGCGAACAGGAUUAGAUACC
rnacentral:rRNA from 1 species